CUAUUUCACCUGCAACCGCACGAGAAUUAAAAGGGACGGGGAGUGCUUUCAGUUGUAAACCCAGCGGCCUGCGGGAAACCCUUGUACAAUCUUCUCGAUCCUUCUCUAUCCGUUCCUGUCUUCCAUGGGCGACGGCGUAAAGGGAACGGUCACCCCCCUCGGAUCCCUUUUCUCCCCCGAGGAGGCGCGGAAGGCCGCACAGCGGGUGGAGGGAGCUGUCGUCCAGCGCAGUAGCGAGCUCCGGCGUCUCCAGGGCUUCGUCUCCGAGAAUUCCGCCCUUAUAUCCCUUGUUCGCUCCCUUCCCGAUGAGCUCUCUCACGAAAUCAUGGUUCCUUUUGGAGGUGCGGCUUUCUUCCCUGGCCGCCUUAUCCAUACCAACGAGUUUCUGGUAUUGUUAGGAGAUGGAUAUUAUGCAGAGAGGACUGCGAAGCAGACUAUGGAUAUUUUGCAUAGGAGGGGCAAGACAAUGGAAGCCCAGGUUGAGGCUUUGAAGGCCACGAUGUUGGAUCUUGAGGCCGAGGCUAAGUUCUUCAAUUCCACAGCGGAAGAGGCUAUUGAAGGGAUUGUGGAAAUAAGGGAGGAAUAUGUUGAAGAACCUGAGAAGAAUUCUUUGAGUUCAGAUACUGUUUCAGAUUCUUUACACUCCUGCAAGACAGAAAAUCUGCAAAAGCUUGAUGAAGAUGAAGAUGAAGAUGAAGAAUAUGCUCGAAUUAUGGCAAGGAUAGAAGAACUAGAAAGGAUGGAGGAGCUUGAAAAUGGAAAUACUUCAGAAGAUAACACUCAGGAGAAUGAGGAUACUGUGGUUCGUGAUGGAGAUGGGGGUAGCAAAGCUGGAGAUGAAGAUGAGGACAUUGAGGCUGGUCAUAGUUUCUCGACAUUAGAUCAUAAAUAUGAAGUUAUUGAGCCAAAGCAAAAACUAAAAGAUCCCUUACAGAAGGCUAGCGACCAAAAAGUUCCGAGUUCAUUUAUUUCUCGUCAGACCGGAAACAUUUCAAAACAAGAACUAAAGGAGGAAGCAUUUAGUAACUCGAGGAUGCAAUUUCCAGUUGAAGCUCAUUCUUUUAGUAACAAAGAACUGUCUGUUGGCAAAGAGAAGACUGCAUCAUCUCCAUUUGGUGCCCAGUCAUCUGUUUCAAAGAUUGAGGAUUCUCCGCAUGAGACUACAGGACAAACACUUAAUAUAGUCUCAAGUGGUCGCAAAGCAUUUUCAGGCUCUAUUGUUGAGCGUGAUCUUGAUCCUCAACCCGUACAGUCAUCAAAAAAUACCAAUCUGCCACAGGCAUCUUUUCCCAAGUAAAACAUAUGGUGAGAAACUUGCCUUAUAAAGUCAGUCCUAGCAUCGUUCCUGAGUUCACAGAUCAAGCUCUGCAUUUUGUAAUAUCAAAACAGUCCUCUGCUCAGAGUUCCACAAAGCCAGUUUCAAGAUUCAAGAUGCAGAAAGGCAAUCGUUAGUGUUUGAUAUGUACCUUUCAAUUUGAUUAAAGUUAUUCUCGGCCUCGCUGCUGUUGGACCCCAAAUGAGGAAUCUUGCCCCAUGAGCAUACAAUUUGUCAAUAUAUCAUCUUCAAAUGCUCUAUUCAGGUUUUGGAACUGACUAUCAUAAUUGUUUUUACCUUCCAAUCCCUCUUGAACGUGAUCAUGGAUGUGCGUAUCAAGCAGCGUCCAAUACAAAAUGAACUGGUAAUAUGUGCGACAGAAUCAAAUUUUGGCCAUUUUUUGUCAUGUAGGUACCAAAAUUCAAGUAAGCCAAAUACAAUGAUUAUAUCAUUGUAAUUCAUAGUUGUCUGAGUUGAAAACAGUUUUUAUAA